rnacentral:rRNA from 1 species
UCCUGGAAACAGGAGAGUUGCCUCGCAAGAGGAGCUCUCACACAGGUGCUGUAUGGCUGUCGUCAGCUCGUGCCGUGAGGUGUUGGGUUAAGUCCCGCAACGAGCGCAACCCCUAUCUUUAGUUGCCAUCAUUGAGUUGGGCACUCUAAAGAGACUGCCGGUGUCAAACCGGAGGAAGGUGGGGAUGACGUCAAGUCCUCAUGGCCUUUAUGACCAGGGCUACACACGUACUACAAUGGCCGGUACAAAGGGCAGCGACACAGCGAUGUGAAGCCAAUCCCGAAAAGCCGGUCUCAGUCCGGAUUGGAGUCUGCAACUCGACUCCAUGAAGUUGGAAUCGCUAGUAAUCGCGGAUCAGCACGCCGCGGUGAAUACGUUCCCGGGCCGUU